rnacentral:lncRNA from 1 species
UGGGUUCUUCGUGUAUCGGGUAGGGGGUUCAUCAUCAAGAUCGACCCACGGAUUUGGGAAUAGGGUUCGUUAAGCCCCAUUAAAAAUUGCAUCACCUUCUCCUUCUCUUCUCUGUCAGCAAGCUUUUUCAGCAUGUCGCAAGAGCAAGGGAUGGGUUCCUGGUAAGACCCUAAUUCAUCCCAAAGCCCUUUGAGUUUCGUAUAAUAGGCAGAUAUGGAGAGGGACCCUUGACGACAUUCAACAAUUUCUUGUCGUAUUUGGUAGAUUCUGGAUUCGUCUCCUUGGGAAAAUCUGUCUUUGAGGUCGUUCCAAAUCACGGCUGCCGUAUCUGAGUAGAUGACGCUACGAGCUAUCUUUGGUUGAACAGAAUUAAGGAUCCAGG